GGAGCAGGAUCCUGGAGUCGAAGGCGGCGGCGGUGGAGUUGAGCAUCCAGGUGUAGAAGGGGUGGAAGACGACGGCGUCGGGGCAGCUGAGCGUCGCCGGCAGCUUGGGGCACUCGAUGAAUGACUUGCCGUCCGUGCUCGCGCAGAGGUAAAUCUCGUACAGCUGCUUCUUCCCGAAGGGCCCGUCCUUGCACUGCAGCCCCGGCGCGACGCCGAGCUUCUUGGUGAUGGCCGACUUGAUCUUCGCCGUGGCGUAGAGCUUGUAGUCCGGCUUGAUGCCCUGGUCGGCCAGCGCGGCGAGGAUGCCCGCCUGCGUCCUCAGGCCGAGGGCGGCCUUGAAGUAGUCCAGCUGCGCCAGGCCCGAGCAGACGCCGUAGCUGUUCCACUCGCUCUUCCAGGUGUUCAUGCCGUCGGUGGGCGGGCACUUGAUGUUGCUCCAGUAGUGGUUGAUGCCGUUCUCAAUCUUGUUCAUCUGACCGGUCGACCGAUCGAUCGAUGCAUGGGAUGAGCAUGAUAUCGUGUGAGAUAAAUUAAAGCUAGGUAGGGGUUUGCAAGCAUGGAUAAUUAAGGGCCGGGGGUUUAAUUUAGAGAAUCGAAGAUGUGAGUAGUUAACCUUGCGGUUGUCGAAGGGUGCACCGUUCCUGCACCUGACGAUGGGCUUGUUAAUGGACAGGUCGAAGGUUUGGAAGCUCUUCACGAAGAAAUCCUCCGCCGGGUAGCCGUACUUGGGCACGCAGCAGCCGUUGUCGCUGUCCUCGCAGUAUGCUCCAGGCCACUGCAUGCACAGAAACGAUCCAUCGAUUCAGCUUGGGAAACGGCAAUGGUUUCGUCCCUGGCCUAGCUUCCUGAUAACGCAUGUAUUACUGCUCCAUGCAUGUAUUUUCUACACGUUCAUUUUGGCCUGAAAAUUCAAUUAUUACUUAUUAGUAUAGGACAAACAGUUUCUUUCACGUGUCAUAAUUCAUAAUCGAUCCAUCCGUCAUUCACGUCUCUGGCCCCAUGAGCGCGACAGAAUGGUCCUUGGUUCAUAGCUAGUGGUACUAUGACGUUGGUCGGGCAAAAUUGUGAAGGCCGGUAGCUUUAAAGUUUGCUUAUACUUUGUCACGGAUCAUGAUUAUUAUGUUGAAUUAUACAUGUCCAUGCUUACUGUGUGUUUUUUUCCAUGACGACACACGGUCACUGUGUUAUUCUGAUCUUAUAUAUGCUCAAAAGAUUUGGAACUUCGACUUAUUGAUAGCUGAAAACAAAAGGCACACUGACAAUUUAAUUUUGCUUAGUAAUUCAGCUGUGACAGUAUGUAUGUACAAAAUGUAUGAAAUAUCAGACAUGCAAAAGCGUGGUUAGUGGUGUGUGCGCUUCACCUUGUAAUUGCAAGAAAAAUAUAGUACAACAGAAAAUUAUCUAGCAUUGUAAUAUUGUGAUUGUAGAUAAUUAUUCUGGCAAUAAACAUUAAGGAAGAUAUAUAUAGUUUCAUGCAUAGAGCACUUAUGUCGUGUACAAUCAUCAGAAUUAGCAAUAUUAGUAUAUUGUAAACCAUGUGCAGAAAAUUAAGCGUUUGAAAAAGGUUCAUACCAU
rnacentral:lncRNA from 1 species